rnacentral:lncRNA from 1 species
CAACACUGAGCAACAUUAUUCCCUCUGGAGAGAUGGAGCCCAGGCGUUGCUCCGCGGCCACUCGGAGACCUGGAGCCCACCUGCCCUGCCAUCCUCUCUACUAGGGGCCAGCCCCACCCCACAGCAGUGCAGGGGCAGCAGAAUCCAGGGUGCCUAUCUGGGAGCAGAAACAUUUGAAGAGGACCAUGAAGGAGAGUGUGGGAUCGGUUCCUAAACCUGAGAGGGACAUCAAUUUUCCCCAGCAGCACCCCGGAAAUGGAGGUGGGAGCAGGGCAGGGCUAGCCUCCCCUCCCCCAAGCCCUGGGAAGGUACUGAGGAAAGACCCCAUGG